rnacentral:rRNA from 2 species
AAUAACGACUCUCGGCAACGGAUAUCUAGGCUCUUGCAUCGAUGAAGAACGUAGCGAAAUGCGAUACUUGGUGUGAAUUGCAGAAUCCCGUGAACCAUCGAGUCUUUGAACGCAAGUUGCGCCCGAAGCCUUCUGGCCGAGGGCACGCCUGCCUGG